GGUCUACUUUCUGCGCUUCCCGCUCCGUCACGUUCACGGACCUACCUUUUUCGAUGCAUUGAAAAAACGUGACGGCGCCCUUCUUGCAUUUUUCAGGCGGCUACUGAAGUAAACCUUCGUGAUAGUCAGUAUCGUUUCGGUGAUAGCAGAAGCCAUGAGAACGAAAGACAGCGCCCACUGUUAAGAAGAACGCCUGCGAAAGCUGACGCGGAGGGGUGUCCAUACAUGUAUACCUAAAGGUGUUUGAAGAGGACAAAAAGGAAGAAGGACAGCAGUUGGAACGAGGCGAGGCGAGGCGAGACGAGAGGACACGCGCGAAGGGAAAGAGCGGUCAUUUUGAAUGAUACGAAUAAGACGCAAGAAAAAGGGAAGGAGAGGAAACAAAAAUGAGGAAAUGUGUUCAGUCAAAUCUCCAGCGAGUUUGUUGCUAAGCUUGCCGUUCGUCAACGCUGAAUCUUCCGAAGCUUAGAUGCGAGUGCUUUUUUUUAUUACUUCGUUUCGUAGAAUCCGAAGUAAAUUUCAUUGGAUCAAGUUUAUAUUCGCAUGUUCUUGCCCAGCUUCGCUUGACUGUUACUGUCCCAACGUGUUUUAGCCUUGAACUCUCACUAGAGGCGCAUUAGCUAGUAUCUAUAUAUGCAAGAGCUUUAUGGUGGACACACUUGGGGAUCGCAAUGGCUAAACAUACGUUCAAUCUCAUAGUUCAACUAGGAAAAUUCAAAGAAUACUUUUUGGUACAAAACAAGCCUUUCAAAUAAGUUGAACGUUCGAUUUUUUUGGAAAAACAAAAUGAAUCUGUAAACCCCGGCGUCUACUGCGAUUAGCCAAUAAGUACGGUUGUGCAUAUAUAGCCUAUCUUCUAUCGUAGCGUUUGCUAUUCACCCUAAAAGUAUAUGCGAGACAUUUAGAUCUUCGUCAAGGGCGAUGCUUGUGUAAAGCUUAUAUGUCAAUAACCGUAUCCAAUGGUACGCUUGUCCCUAAGAUCACAAACGGUAGGAAACUCAACUUCAAAAUUUCUAAACUCGUAAACUCACCUAGGACGAAGCUGCAUUUCGAGUAAGAGAGACUACUUUCCUCCAAGCCUCACAGUGCUCUCACCAGGAAUUGUCCAAUGUAAAGCAACUCUUUUAUUACAUUAGAAUGCUCUAACUCUGUCGAGUGUGAUCUGCUCUUAUAUAAGAAUAUAAGCAAAGUUAUCCGUUUGUGACGUAAUAUAUUAGCUUGAUUUGAAUAUUUAUGUUGCAGUCAGAGCAAGGUACUAUCUACAAGAAACUGCAGAGAAUAUUAUCCUAGAAUCCCAUCGGAUGACUGAUCUAUCUCAUUGAACGGCGGCUUAAGACAGACAUUGUGCGGUUCAUUGUUUACGUCGACAUUAUGCUCUGCACGAAAAAGCAUGCUACACUCUGCGAUCCGGCCUCCGUUCGACGUUUUCUAUCCAAAGGGGUUAGAACUAAUGAAUCUACCUCACAUCUUAAGCACUUACGGGAAACUCUUAGAGAAAAUCAAUUGCGUGAUUCGGAUUUCAGUUUUGUUUCUAAUAUCAUCACUAGCGCCUGUCAUUCGGUGUUGUCGGCCGUGUAUUGCACGAGGAUUUCAAAAUUCAACCUAAGCCAAUUCAGUCGUCGUAAUACUUUCUACAGAUCUAGCUACAACUAUUGCUGUCUCGAGUAAGGUCCAUGCGUGUUGCAUACAUUUAAGAAACUACAUAAUUUAUCGCGCUUCAAUAUUAAUACAUCGACAAUAAAAAUCGAGCCUAUAUUCCAGGCGAUUACGUACGUAACUUUCACGAUUCGUCAGGGCACACUACCUAUAUUCAAUCUGCCUGAACAGGGCUACACAAAUUUCUCAAGGCCGAUUUGAAUAGCUGCUAUGAUUAUUUUUGACACCGUUACAACAGGCGGGUUAGUCCUUCGAAAGUUUUGCCUUGCCUGACGAUCCGUACUUACUAAAGGUUAAAGAAACAGAUCUUAUAUUAUGUAUGACAUACAGCAUUCUCGUGAAGAAAUGUUCAAUGUUCAAACUUGCAAUUCGUGGUCUUUCGCUAAAAAAAAAACACGCUGGUAUGCUAAACACUAUUCUCACCCAGCUUUAGAACUGCACUUCUAAAUAUAUAUGUAUUAUAUAAUACAGAUAUGAUAAUUAAGUAUCGGGCAGCUCUUUCGCCACAGUCUGCAAAAUAAUAAUAUUACUCAGUUUUGCAGUUCUUUCUGCACACCAGCUGGGAAGUAGUCAUAAAUGUCCAAAAUUAAAGAAACAUAUAUUUCGAAAACGCAAAACAAGACAAAGACUCACAGUCGGGUUCGAUUUUAAAGAUUGCAUUACGUAAGUCAAUUAAAUUUGAAUGUAGCUAUGUUCAAGUGUGUGCGAUAAACAAGGUAUCCAUCAUAAAAACUUGAUACAGAUUAUACACUCCGUCCUUCAAACCGAGAACUAGUCGUGUUUUCUUCUUCGUUCGACAAACGUUCCGCUGUCAUGUUAUUUAUAGUCACUAUUAGGUUUGCAAAACAGCUAGAAUUCUAUCAGUAUGGGCUAGCGUUAUGUCAACACGUCGAGGAGCUUCGAUUCCAGUCCUCAGUGCACGUCUUCAUUGAACGACCGUCCAUUUGUGGUUUUCGUAAGAUUAAUCAUCUUUUACGCGCUGUCGAACUCAGAAACAACACCUAUUUUGAUUGGUUGUUAUUUAUUGUAUGUUAGAUAUUAGUUUUGAGAAUUUCAUAUUGUGUAUACUUUAAGGCCCUGUUUCUCUUCUUCCACUAAUUGACGUCUUAUUUUUAAGAGGGCAGAUAGCCCCAGAAGAUAGCAUUUACAUAGGUUAUAUUUUGUCUGCCGUUCUUCCGCCGUCGAGCAUAUUCUCAGGGAAAAGCUGCCGUAUCUCAGUGUACCCUUCUAUGCGUAUUUUUCUUCCGUCAACCAAUGCAAUCAAAGCAAUGUUUAGGUUGCGCUUAUCCCUUUACUGAACUCAAACUGAUUUUUACCGGCGAGAUUAUUUGUGUCCAAAAAACUUUUAGUUUAUCUUAUUACGCAUGAUUUUACUUAUGAUUUAUUUAAUAUUUGAACAGGUGGGUAGUUUGAUUCAAAGCCUUGUACCUUGUUUUGAAUAGCAGGACCACACCGUAGACUUUACGGCGGGUAUGCAAAAAAUCUGUCGGCGCAUCAUUUUGUCUCCUACACCAUAUAGUCGAAGUGGUUCGCCGAUGAGCUGCCAGUUAUUAGUAGUAAUUAAUAGAGAAAGGCCUAACUGUAUAUUUACAUUGUGAAGAUGCGUUGAAGGGUCCUGGUAAGACAGUGUGCGUCUGAAAAUAUAGUAGCACUGCUUUAGCUUUUUAUUGAGAUCAUAACGUUCAUUUUGAUGAGGUUUACGGAAGUGUCAGCUCAUACAGCUCUUGUUAUAUGAGCUGGUACACCUGGGUAUAUCCGUUAUUCUGCUGAAAGCCUUGCUUUUAAAAAUGGUAAUAAGCUUAACGUGAUAGCUUUCGCCCGAUUUCGUAUGAACUCAAAGCGUGCAUUAUUUGUUUGCUUUAACAAUAAUGGCUGACCAUUUUGUAAGCUUUCUUACUACUAUGUCUAUCUUCAAUCUUGCGACUUGAAUCAGUAGGCUUUUACAGAAGAGGACAUUAACAGGCGCUUCUGAGCCAAACAUGCUAGCUCUCCGUCGUAAGCUUCCGAAAAACCUUAUGUUCGUUCCCUUGGCAAGACAAGGAUGUCCAUUGGACUCGAAUUGCUGUGAAGACCUGAUGACAUUUAAUAUGUAAUUAAUAUGUAAAUCUAAAUAAACGUCUUUUUUGCGCGCAAUGGUAAUUUUCUGCUCAAUAGUGGUUCUGAAAUGUGCUUGAUUGGUUUUCAAUGAAAAAAUCAAACCCUAUCUGAAAAAACAUUGCCGGAGGAUAACGGAGCAGACCACUUUACCGAUCCAAAACUACCGGAAAUAUGUGAAUGGGGUCUGCUCUUGUUUUUAUUGGAGAGGAUCAUUUUUUAUAUGCUACUACGUUUUUAUCGAGCUUCCGAGUAUAACGUCCUAAUUUUCGGCAGAAAUUCGAAGUAAGCAGGUACCUGCAUAAAAAAGUUGACAGCAGCCUGUUGAGAUUUUCCAGCUGUUAAGAUUCUAAUGAAGUCUUUAAAGUGAUUAGUAAUAUAGGUGUUUUAGCCCAAGAAGAAUAGAUAAUUGCGAAGAGGGCAGUUUAAAAAGGUGUCUGAGCCAUAAAGCGCCCUUGGAGAGGAUUUCAACAUGU
rnacentral:lncRNA from 1 species